GGCGGACGGGUGAGUAAUGUCUGGGAAACUGCCUGAUGGAGGGGGGAUGACUACUGGAAACGGUAGCUAAUACCGCNUAACGUCGCAAGACCAAANAGGGGGACCUUCGGGCCUCUUGCCAUUGGAUGUGCCAAGAUGGGAUUAGCUAGUAGGUGGGGUAACGGCUCACCUAGGCGACGAUCCCUAGCCGGUCUGAGAGGAUGACCAGCCACACUGGAACUGAGACACGGUCCAGACUCCUACGGGAGGCAGCAUG
rnacentral:rRNA from 1 species